rnacentral:tRNA from 1 species
AAGGAUGAAGCUACUACGAGCGUUUAACUGUUAAUUAAAAAAUUGCACCCCCACUUA